GGGUGCUCGAGUGGCGAACGGGUGAGUAACACGUGGGUGAUCUGCCCCUGACUUUGGGAUAAGCCUGGGAAACUGGGUCUAAUACCGGAUAUGACCAAGGAUUGCAUGGUUCUUGGUGGAAAGCUUUUGCGGUUGGGGAUGGGCCCGCGGCCUAUCAGCUUGUUGGUGGGGUAAUGGCCUACCAAGGCGACGACGGGUAGCCGACCUGAGAGGGUGAUCGGCCACACUGGGACUGAGACACGGCCCAGACUCCUACGGGAGGCAGCAGUGGGGAAUAUUGCACAAUGGGCGCAAGCCUGAUGCAGCGACGCCGCGUGAGGGAUGACGGCCUUCGGGUUGUAAACCUCUUUCAGCAGGGACGAAGCGCGAGUGACGGUACCUGCAGAAGAAGCACCGGCCAACUACGUGCCAGCAGCCGCGGUAAUACGUAGGGUGCGAGCGUUGUCCGGAAUUACUGGGCGUAAAGAGCUCGUAGGCGGUUUGUCGCGUCGUCUGUGAAAUUCUGCAGCUUAACUGCAGGCGUGCAGGCGAUA
rnacentral:rRNA from 1 species